rnacentral:rRNA from 1 species
GAUGAACGCUGGCGGCGUGCCUAAUACAUGCCAGUCGAGCGAACAGACGAGGAGCUUGCUCCUCUGACGUUAGCGGCGGACGGGUGAGUAACACGUGGAUAACCUACCUAUAAGACUGGGAUAACUUCGGGAAACCGGAGCUAAUACCGGAUAAUAUAUUGAACCGCAUGGUUCAAUAGUGAAAGACGGUUUUGCUGUCACUUAUAGAUGGAUCCGCGCCGCAUUAGCUAGUUGGUAAGGUAACGGCUUACCAAGGCGACGAUGCGUAGCCGACCUGAGAGGGUGAUCGGCCACACUGGAACUGAGACACGGUCCAGACUCCGACGGGAGGCAGCAGUAGGGAAUCUUACGCAAUGGGCGAAAGCCUGACGGAGCAACGCCGCGUGAGUGAUGAAGGUCUUCGGAUCGUAAAACUCUGUUAUUAGGGAAGAACAAAUGUGUAAGUAACUAUGCACGUCUUGACGGUACCUAAUCAGAAAGCCACGGCUAACUACGUG